rnacentral:rRNA from 1 species
CCGCGGUAAUACGUAGGGUGCGAGCGUUAAUCGGAAUUACUGGGCGUAAAGCGCACGUAGGCGGCUUGUUAAGUCGGGGGUGAAAUCCUGGAGCUCAACUCCAGAACUGCCCUCGAUACUGAUGAGCUCGAGUCCGGGAGAGGUGAGUGGAACUGCGAGUGUAGAGGUGAAAUUCGUAGAUAUUCGCAAGAACACCAGUGGCGAAGGCGGCUCACUGGCCCGGUACUGACGCUGAGGUGCGAAAGCGUGGGGAGCAAACAGG